rnacentral:sRNA from 1 species
UCUAUGGUAUGUUGAUCACGUCAAUUACUUGGUUAGUGGUGAAGCGCCUCCGAAUCUGUCGAGCUAUGAGAAGAAAAAGUUCUUCAAGGACAUUAACCAUUUCUACUGGGACGAACUUUAUCUCUACACACUCUGCAAAGAUUAGAUCUACAGGAGAUGCGUCUCAGAAGACGAAAUCGAAGGCAUCCUACUGCACUGCCAUGGGUCUGCCUAUGGUGGCCACUUUGCAACGUUCAAGAGAGUGUCAAAAAUCCUACAAGCUGGUUUUUGGUGGCCGACAAUGUUUAAGAAUGCUCAAGAAUUUAUCUCGAAAUGUGACUCAUGUCAGAGAAGAGGGAACAUCAGCAGAAGGAAUGAGAUGCCUAAGAAUCCGAUCUUAGAAGUUGAGAUCUUUGACGUUUGGGGAAUCGAUUUUAUGGGUCCGUUUCCUUCUUCUUACGGGAACGAUUACAUACUGGUCGCAGUAGACUAUGUAUCAAAAUGGGUGGAAGCCAUAGCCAGCCCCACCAAUGAUGUUAGAGUUGUGCUAAAGCUGUUCAAGACAAUUAUUUUCCCUAGAUUUGGAGUCUCGAGAGUUGUAAUCAGUGACGGAGGGAAACAUUUUAACAACAAGGUUUUUUAGAACCUUUUGAAGAAGCAUGGAGUAAAGCACAAGGUAGCCACUCCUUAUCAUCCACAGACGAGCGGGCAGGUGGAAAUCUCCAACAGGGAGAUAAAAGUAAUUCUAGAGAAAACAGUGGGGAUUACGAGGAAAGAUUGGUCUGCGAAGCUCUAUGACGCACUAUGGGCUUACAGAACAGCUUUCAAGACUCCUAUUGGCACGACUCCUUUCAACCUUCUCUAUGGAAAGUCCUGUCACUUACCUCUGGAACUCGAGUAUAAAGCCAUGUGGGCAGUUAAACUCCUGAACUUCGACAUUAAAACCGCCGAAGAGAAGCGGUUGAUCCAACUGAACGAUCUCAACGAGAUUCGCUUAGAAGCUUAUGAGAGUUCCAAAAUCUACAAGGAGCGAACCAAGUCUUUCCAUGACAAGAAGAUAGUCUCAAGAGAUUUUAAGGUUGGUGAUCGAGUGCUGCUGUUCAACUCUCGGCUGAGGCUUUUUCCAGGCAAGCUCAAGUCUAGAUGGUCUGGUCCUUUCUCUGUUACUACAGUCCGACCUUAGGGUGCUAUCACUCUAGCUGGAAAGAAUGGAGACUUCAUAGUAAAUGGCCAGCGGCUCAAGAAGUACAUGGUAGAUCAGUUUAUUCCAGAAGGAACUUCUGUGCAUUUGGAGGAGCCUAUACACGCCUAAUGAGUAUGAGGAGUCAAGCUAGAGACCUAAAACAAGCUCACUUGGGAGGAAGUUCCAUGCCCUAUCUUUGUACAUAUCUUUAAUUUUCCUUGUUGUUUUUGAUGCAUCUUGUUAGUGUUUUCAUGAGAUAAGUAUGAAGAGCUGAGGGAAAUAGAUUCUGGCUUUGAGGGAACAACAAUACACUCGACCACAGAGCAAUCAAACUCAACAUUGUUCCGGCUUCUUCACCCCAGGAAAUCACUCGACCACACCCUACAGGGACCGAAUGACGAUGUGGUCGAGUAUAGCGAACGAUGCAGUCAUAACUUCUCCAUGUCAGUAAUUCACUCGACCGCGGUGCUGGUCGCAGCAGAAGAAGAGAGGUCGAGUAUCAUCAGAGCGGUGCUGGCCGCGACGAAGGAGCAGAGGUCGAGUACCCCCAGGGGGAAGCUGAGACACAACAGGGAGAUUCUUCGAUGGCCUGGGAGCAAUCACAGGCGGCUAUUGACGACCAAAUCCGCUGCUUCUUCCACUGAGGUAAGCACCUCACUCUACCAUUGUAAUAUACCAUCUCCUGUUUUUAUUUUGUUUCUCUGAUGUGUUUUGUCCUGAGUACUCUCUUCCAAAUCUGGUCACACAGUGGACUGUGUGAUUUAAGUUUGGCGGAGGGCUCAGGAAGUGUGUGUUGCAUUGUAUAUAAUCUUGAGUCUGCAUUCAUCUAAGGCAUAGAAAAAACCAAAAAAAUUGAAAAAUUUCAGAAAAUGAUUUCACAAAAAUAGAGUGUUCAUGUAGUUGCAUUGCAUUUAGGAUCGAGUCUAGAGUGUUUCAUUUAGGAUUGUUGCAUAUGCAUAGGGGAUAAUGAUGAGAUACCCUUGUUAGCAUUUUGGUUCACCAGAUAAGCUCAGUGCCCUCGUUGUUAGUUGUUUGAUGCGUAGUCAAUGAAAUUGAAGUAAAACUGCACCAUGCCUAGAUUGCUCUACUCGACCACACUGUUAGGAUCUGAUACCAUUCCCUAUCAAUUUGAACUUGAAUCUGAUUUAGAAUUAUCAUGUCUUGGAAUCGAAUUUGAACUCAUGGAUACCCUAAAAUACUUGGAUUUUUCUUACUCAUUUUAACCACUCUUGUUAGUCCAAGUAGCUGACUCUCCUUAUUAGAGUAGUUA